rnacentral:misc_RNA from 1 species
AUUUGCUUCCGUUUCCGGCAACUUUUGCCCUUGCGCACUAUACCUAUUCGGACCUGUGCCUCGCGAAGUGCGUUGAUCGAUUCCAAGUCACUACGUGGAGCGACAUUGACAAAAAAGCUUCUGAAUCGACCAUGUUUGUCCCCUUGUCAUUCGUUCUCCUGGCUAUCUCAGCAAGUCUCUUUGAUGAGUUUCGAGGCCAGGUGCUCCCCGAAGGCUGCAAGCAGCAGGAGGAAUGCUACGAGACAGCAACUGAAGAGAUCUUCCAGGUUGUUGAGAAGCAUGACCACAUUCUUCCACUCUGCGAGGCGCUGAAGAAUGAUACGGGCGUCCGAGGCUGUGCUGCUGAGUACGGUAACGGCAGUUGCGACUCUAACCCAUGGAAACAACCGGUGAAUGCCUUGGUGGAGAGCCUUUGCAGCGAGGAAAGCCUGCGUGUUUUCUCGGCGCCUCAGUUGCCUCAAGGCCAGUGCUUCCACCUGAACUUCGCCAUCGAGUGCGUGGCCAAGUCAUUGUUCCAGUACGAAGAGCAUCGGACGAUUUCUUCGCUCAGUUCGCAACGAGACCCUGUGCAGUAGCGUGUCGAUGGACCUAUGGCGCUGCGCUGCCGGUGUCUACGAAGGCUGUAACCAGAAGGAGCCCAUACGGACAGCCCUAAACGAUGUGAUCAAUGCCCUCUUAAAGUCCAUCAGCUGCCAGAACACUAAAAUUGCCGAAGACAUCCACAACGGUGACCAGCGUCCGACGCCACGUGCACCUGCGUCGUCCGGCCGCGUUGGCUGUGAGACCGGAAUGACGCACGUGAAGAACUGUCUGCGUGAAAUCGUCAGCCCAAAUACAGUCGCCAAUGAACUGCUCGAGAAACUGCGCACCCAGCCGAUGGACUACGACGAGGCUUUCUGCAG